GUCUACGGCCAUACCACCCUGAACGCGCCCGAUCUCGUCUGAUCUCGGAAGCUAAGCAGGGUCGGGCCUGGUUAGUACUUGGAUGGGAGAAGGAUAUAAGGGAAAUUUAGAGG
rnacentral:rRNA from 1 species